AAAAUUGCCUGGCAGGGGAGAUACCAUGGUCAUGAAGGUAAUUUUCCCAGGGUGAGGCUCACCCAUUGCACUCUGGAUGUGCUGACCCUUGUGAUUUCCUCAAACGUGGGAAACUGAACUGCAAAAUGUAUGGUAGUGGGGGACUGCAUUUGCGCUUUCCCCUG
ensembl:snRNA U1 U1 spliceosomal RNA